rnacentral:lncRNA from 1 species
UUUGGGUGAGUCCCCUGAGUCAAUACGGUGUCGUCACACCAAUUUGGAGUAGGAACGUUGCGUUGUUUUCGCGUUUCAGUGUGUAAAUGCUUGCUGUUUUGUUUGUAUUACAUGCCACGAGUGUUGGGGGUGGAUUUACAUCCUACCUCAAGGCCCAUUAGACAAUAAAUUAAGCUCAUUUUACUAUGAAGCCCUAGCUUCUUCCUUGUAUAAAUAAAGAGAUGCCUCUCUUUAUCAAGGGAUAUCUUCUUCCUCAUUUUAGACUUAGAACACUUCUUACAAAGAUUUUAUACAUUCUUUGAUUCACUUUACACUAGAAAUCAUUCUUGUAAUGUAAUCUUUGAUUAAUAAAGUCUUUUGAUGUUUUCUUUCUCAUUUAAUUCUUUCAAGAUUUCUCCUAAACCUCAAGAAUCUAAUCUUUAUUUUUUUUAGAUUCUUUAUUUGAUUGAUUCCAACAAACAUCACAAAUAUAAACACCAUUUUUGGAUCAAACAAUUGGCGCUAGAAGGAGGGGGCUAAGGAGAAUUUUCUUCAAAAGAUAUCAAAUUUGAGAGAAUCCUAGAUCUAACUUCAUCAUCUCAAGAUAAAGGAUGAAGCUUUCUCAUGAAAGCUUUGUUUUUGCGGGGGACGGGACUCUCAUCAAGAAUCGAGUAUUGAAAUCAUCUUUGAAAAAGAUAAGUUUCUCAAUCUCAUCUCAUUAAUAAAAUUAUAUUCAUGAUUAUCACAUAAUCAUAGAUACGCAUGUUUAAUCUGUGAGAGGAAAGAAAAUAAUAAAAAAAAAAUUAUUUUCUGACUUUAGGAGUCGUGACCGACGACUACUCUGAAAAAGAGGGAAUCGAACACAGACGACGUCGAUGGGGCUGUCGCUGCUUUCCCGCAUCGGUCGAGUUCGUCGAGUUCCGUUCCAUCCCCGCCAACGACGAGCUAGCCUGUGACAGAAGGAGAAAAGAGAGAGAUCGUUCACUACCUCAAAGGCAGUCGUGAACUCGAAAGUUCUCAGCUUUGGAGCUCGCGACGGAGAACCGAGAUCUCAGCUCAGUUAGCAACGACGGCCAACACCUUCUCUCUCGUCUGCUCCGAUUAAAGAGUAUGGGGCCACGGAUUGCAACAAAGCUCGGCAAAGAUUGUAACAAAGCUCGAGAAUCGAUCCCGCGAAGCUCACGAGUUUGACCUUGAUUCGAGUUUGUUGGGUCUGUUUCCUCACCGGCUUCAGUCUCCACCACCACGUCUCGAAUCUAAUCACUCCCCAAACUCAGCCCAUGCUUGAUCUCGACUUCACACGAUCUCCUCCUCCUCGAGACAUUUAUGGCCUUACCAGAAGCUCUUGCUGGAGCAAAAGAGAAAGCUUGAUUGAAGCCACUCCAUCAAUGGCAGCUGAGAGAGAAGUUCAGCUCUGUUCUUGAUUUGUGACACCGCAGAAAUCACAAUCUCAAUCACAGUUUGGUCUUGGAAGCCAUGGUUUGAUUUUGGCUAGUCACCCACAUCUCGUAAGCUCAGCCUCUCGGACAGAGGCAAUCACGUGAUGACCUUGAUAGUAAUGAUCUGAUCUCCACACCCGACUUCCUGCGCUUCACCACCAUGGCAUCUUCAAAAGCUCCAGGAAAAAGCUUCAGCAUCUCCCAAAGAUGAGACAGAGCGAACGGCAACAAGGGACUGCGAAGAAACGUGGAAGAAGAGCUCAGACGUGCCUCUCUUUCCGUACGCGAGAUGGUUCCUCAUUGUCGACUGCUUCAAGCUCUGAAAGGUAUAGAAAACAGAGGAAUGGGUGAUAGACCACGACAAGCUCGGUCUCUCUUUAUGCUCAGCUCAUGAUCAUCAACACCGUCAACGCGCAUCCCCGAGCUUGACGUUGUCAAGAUCACGUCUUAGCCUCUUCGUUGGAUUCAUAUCACGUGAUCUUGGCAUUGCUUGGAGAUCAUCUCAGUAACAGUUCGAUCUUGGCAGUCACGUGAUCUCUACCUCUGAUGUGACGAGGAAAAAUCAAGACUUCGAUGCUCUCAUCUCCGAACGCUGCUAUGGACGCAAACUUCAUAGCAUAGAGCUCUUGCUUCUUCACCAAGCAAGCUUUACCAAUUGACAAGAUAAGCUUUCCUAACAACCUUAUCAAAUCAUUAUUAUCCUUACGUUUAAGGCGUAGUCAAGUUAUAGUUUGCUUCUUUAAUCAUUUAUUAUCUAACCAUGAUAAUAAAAUAUUUAAAGAAGCGAUAAUGAUCGUUACAGCGUAUUGACUUAUGUUCAAACUCACUGUAUUUGAUUAUAUCAACGUUCAUGACAUGUGGUUGCUAACAAGACUUAAUUUUCUUGAAGCUUUGUCCAUCCCCUCGCACUGGUCUUUGCACGAUCUUGCUGCAAACCAUCUCAAGAUCAUAGGCAGAAUGCCUUCUCGUUUCACCGCAAGAAGCUCAGAACCUGAUCUUGGCGACAAAGCAUGAUCUUGCAGUCUCGGUUUGAUCUCGCAAACAUCUUACAUGCUGACCAGUCACGACAACAUGCGGAUCAACAAGACGACUCAACUCGUUGAUUUCAUUACUCCAUCUACACAUGGAUUGCAUCAAUGCUGCGAAGACAUGUCCACCUGGUGACUUGAUUGUGACGGUCCGUCCAUGAUGGUACGUUCAUAAUGAUGUCUAUGGCAACUUCUUCUUGGCAGUUAGUCGAUCGACACUUCAUCCAUGGCAACUUGCUCCGGUGGUUCAGAACAUUGUCUUCACAGAUCGUUCGCGCAACCAUCCCGGAGUAAGAAGUCUGAUCGGAAUUAGAAGUAUGUCGAUGACAGCUCGCCCGAGACAGUCCGUCUACGACACUUCAUUUAUGGCAACCUAACCAUGACGUUCCGCUCAUGACAAUCAUCUGCGACAUGGGUACGUGCCUAGUUCAUUGUCUAAUAAACCCCAUACAUAAAGUUCACAGAGAUCGACUUCGACUCUCUCAACGAACUUGGGGGGCUUAUUGUUGGGGGUGGAUUUACAUCCUACCUCAAGGCCCAUUAGACAAUAAAUUAAACUCAUUUUACUAUGAAGCCCUAGCUUCUUCCUUGUAUAAAUAAAGAGAUGCCUCUCUUUAUCAAGGGAUAUCUUCUUCCUCAUUUUAGACUUAGAACACUUCUUACAAAGAUUUUAUACAUUCUUUGAUUCACUUUACACUAGAAAUCAUUCUUGUAAUGUAAUCUUUGAUUAAUAAAGUCUUUU